rnacentral:misc_RNA from 1 species
GGGAUGAGAAACAAAUUCUCAAUUGUUGGAAAAACAAAUUCUCAAUUUUAUUAGAUCAAAUCAAUUGUCAAUCAUAGCAAAAGUCUACCAAAAUACCUAGAAAACUAAGAUAUUUAUAGUAGAACUAUUUAUCCUAUUAGCAUUAGGAAUUGGAACCCUAAAUAAGAAAAUACAAAGCAAAUUCUAAUUAGGUAUCCCUAAACAACAUAACUUUCUAAAUAAUAAUAAAAUCCUAAAUAAACUUCCACAUUAAUAAAACCUAAAGUUACUAAUUUACAAUGAAAAAUAAAAUUAAAAUAAUUCCUAAAUUGAAUCUUUCUUGACUGCAUCUUUGAUACUGCAAGUAUUUAUCAUAGUCAGCUCUAGUUAAGGUAACAAAUCAAGGUACCUUAUGAGUCAUAUUAGAUAGUAUGAGAAACUGCUUAAAUAAGCAUGAUUAAAGGGAGCAAAGCUUCCAGAGAGCAGGAAAAAACACUACAAGAGAAAAUGACCAAGAAUCAAAGAGACCAGGUGGGUAUCUACAGCAGUAUAGAUGCACCUCACCGAGGCGAGGUGGCUGGAAGUGAUUUUGCUGGAAUCAGAUGAGCAACACACUCUCAUGAGCCGGAGAGUGGGUCAGAGGUUAGAAGUUUGCGGCAGCACAUGGAGGACUUUUUGGAGACGAGACUACUAGUUGGGCAAUCGGCGGCAGGCACUUCUGGUGGUAUGGGUGUAGCUAGUUGACCCCCAAAUACCCACCAACUUGAAAUAGCAAUACCAUUUCAUACAAGAAAGAAUAAGCUUGAGGGAAAAAAUCAAAGACCUGACUCUAAUAGAAUAUAGAAAUAAAUGUAUAUGAGAAGAAUAUAGAGGAGAGGAUUGAAAAGAAUUGCUGGGUUAUUCCCUCAAGUUUUGGGGUUUUAUAUAUGGUUUGAAAAUACAUCUAAUAGGAUAUCACAAUUAUAGCACAUAAUCAAAGCAUUCACACACGCAUUUACAGCUAGCGUUCUAACAGAAAUAGAACACAUGUAACUCUAUUGAUUAACUAUUUCAUACAGCUCAUAUAUUACUCCAAAUUUAGGGCUUAGCUAAGUUACUAGUUGGUUGAACAGAUAUCAAGGGAAAUUCAAGCUGAUAUCUAAUCUCUUUCCCUGUUCAGGUCAUUUACAUCUUAACAAAUCAAAAUCCAAUAAUAUAAUCCAGAUCAUCAAGUAAUUCAAAUCAUGGAAUUUCAAAAUGAAAAGAGGAAGAAGACAACAGAGUAGUUACACUUGGGAAAGAGAACAAGAAAAACCUGAUAAAUCCUUGAGUGUACA